UCACGCGGCGGACGGGUGAGUAAUGCCUAGGAAUCUGCCUGGUAGUGGGGGACAACGUUUCGAAAGGAACGCUAAUACCGCAUACGUCCUACGGGAGAAAGCAGGGGACCUUCGGGCCUUGCGCUAUCAGAUGAGCCUAGGUCGGAUUAGCUAGUUGGUGAGGUAAUGGCUCACCAAGGCGACGAUCCGUAACUGGUCUGAGAGGAUGAUCAGUCACACUGGAACUGAGACACGGUCCAGACUCCUACGGGAGGCAGCAGUGGGGAAUAUUGGACAAUGGGCGAAAGCCUGAUCCAGCCAUGCCGCGUGUGUGAAGAAGGUCUUCGGAUUGUAAAGCACUUUAAGUUGGGAGGAAGGGCAUUAACCUAAUACGUUAGUGUUUUGACGUUACCGACAGAAUAAGCACCGGCUAACUCUGUGCCAGCAGCCGCGGUAAUACAGAGGGUGCAAGCGUUAAUCGGAAUUACUGGGCGUAAAGCGCGCGUAGGUGGUUUGUUAAGUUGGAUGUGAAAGCCCCGGGCUCAACCUGGGAACUGCAUUCAAAACUGACAAGCUAGAGUAUGGUAGAGG
rnacentral:rRNA from 1 species